rnacentral:tRNA from 1 species
UGCCCCAUGGCUGAGUUGGUUACAGCGUCCGACUGUUAGGGCUAGCGUAAGCUGCUUACGUAAUCGGAAGGUCGUGAGUUCAAUCCUCACUGGGGCAG